GACGAACGCUGGCGGCGUGCUAAUACAUGCAAGUAGAACGCUGAAGGAGGAGCUUGCUUCUCUGGAUGAGUUGCGAACGGGUGAGUAACGCGUAGGUAACCUGCCUGGUAGCGGGGGAUAACUAUUGGAAACGAUAGCUAAUACCGCAUAAGAGUAGAUGUUGCAUGACAUUUGCUUAAAAGGUGCAAUUGCAUCACUACCAGAUGGACCUGCGUUGUAUUAGCUAGUUGGUGGGGUAACGGCUCACCAAGGCGACGAUACAUAGCCGACCUGAGAGGGUGAUCGGCCACACUGGGACUGAGACACGGCCCAGACUCCUACGGGAGGCAGCAGCAGGGAAUCUUCGGCAAUGGACGGAAGUCUGACCGAGCAACGCCGCGUGAGUGAAGAAGGUUUUCGGAUCGUAAAGCUCUGUUGUAAGAGAAGAACGAGUGUGAGAGUGGAAAGUUCACACUGUGACGGUAUCUUACCAGAAAGGGACGGCUAACUACGUGCCAGCAGCCGCGGUAAUACGUAGGUGGCAAGCGUUAUCCGGAUUUAUUGGGCGUAAAGAGAGUGCAGGCGGUUUUCUAAGUCUGAUGUGAAAGCCUUCGGCUUAACCGGAGAAGUGCAUCGGAAACUGGAUAACUUGAGUGCAGAAGAGGGUAGUGGAACUCCAUGUGUAGCGGUGGAAUGCGUAGAUAUAUGGAAGAACACCAGUGGCGAAGGCGGCUACCUGGUCUGCAACUGACGCUGAGACUCGAAAGCAUGGGUAGCGAACAGG
rnacentral:rRNA from 1 species